rnacentral:rRNA from 1 species
GAGCGGCGUACGGGUGCGUAACACGUGUGCAACCUACCUUUAUCAGGGGAAUAGCCUUUCGAAAGGAAGAUUAAUACUCCAUAAUAUAUGAUCAGGCAUCUGAUUAUAUUGAAAACUCCGGUGGAUAGAGAUGGGCACGCGCAAGAUUAGAUAGUUGGUGAGGUAACGGCUCACCAAGUCAUUGAUCUUUAGGGGUCCUGAGAGGGAGAUCCCCCACACUGGUACUGAGACACGGACCAGACUCCUACGGGAGGCAGCAGUGAGGAAUAUUGGACAAUGGGUGAGAGCCUGAUCCAGCCAUCCCGCGUGAAGGAUGACGGUCCUACGGAUUGUAAACUUCUUUUGUAUAGGGAUAAACCCAGAUACGUGUAUCUGGCUGAAGGUACUAUACGAAUAAGCACCGGCUAACUCCGUGCCAGCAGCCGCGGUAAUACGGAGGGUGCAAGCGUUAUCCGGAUUUAUUGGGUUUAAAGGGUCCGCAGGCGGACCGAUAAGUCAGUGGUGAAAUCUCAUAGCUUAACUAUUGAAAUUAAUCUGAUACUGUUGAGCUAGAGUAUGUGAGAAGAAGGUAGAAUUCCAGGUGUACCGGUGAAA